CGUCGUCACAUGCGAGUUUACACAGUGCAUUUACGCGGAGCUUUUGUGAUUUACGGAUUGGUUUUUAGGGUUAUUUCUGCUCUGUUGGAUAUAAAUGGAGUUGGAGAUAGAGGAGGUCGAAAGUAUAUCUGAGCAUUUUGGCAGAACACCAUUAUGUACGCCUGCUUAUUCUUAAGAACUGUCAUCCGAUGACAACAAUGACCAGAUAGAAGGUGCAUGUUGCGGUCAUGGAAAACCGAAUUGGGUCCUUCGUUUCUGGGCAGCCUGCGGAAUCAAGCAGUGACUCCACUGACGAUGAUGGAAGUGAUGACGGUGAUGCGUUUUCACAAGAUGAUAGCAUUCGACGUUUCCACGAAUCUGGCUGUGGGUGUGCUAAGAAAUGCCACGAGAAAUGUGAUGCCUCCCAAAUCAGAACGCACACCCUUAAUACGCGGGAAAUGACGAGGGAAGAAAAGGAAAUGUAUCUUAAAGGCUGUUUUUCCGAAGGUCCCACAAAUGACUCUACAAAGCGUGGGAAAAAGAGAAUGCGAAUUCGUGGAAAAUACACAUUCCGCGGUCAGGAAAUAUGCGCAUACACGUUCAGAUUGUUAUUUGACAUAAGACGUUGUGCAUUAAAAUCAAUAAGGCAGUCAUUGAACAAGACAGGUCCGGGCCCACGCCGGCAUGGAAAUACAGGAAGGAAACCAAAUCAUGCUCUGGUCUUCACAGAUGUUGAGCGUGUGGUCCAAUUCAUCUGCAACUAUAAGGAAGAAUUCGGAAUUCCACAACCUGCAGCUCCGCGUGGGAGAGACGAUACGGCACCGAUAUACCUUCACAACGGUACAACGAAAAUGAACAUUUAUAAGCUGUAAAAAGCAAGCUGUAAAGCGUUUCGUCGAAAAAAGCUCCUCUCAGUCAAUAUGGAGUGCCUGCAUCCCACAUAUAAAGGUUGCAUCCGCUAGAGACGAUGUGUGCGCGACCUGUGAGAAGCUGCGAAGAAAAAUAUGGAUUCGGUAUCGGAAGAGGACAAACUAGCUUCCACUGAAGAAAUGCAUAGUCAUAUUGUUUUGGCACAAAAAGAAAUAGACCUUUACAACAGUCUCAUUAAAAAAGCAAAAGAAACGUCACAUCUAUGUCCAGCUGAACGAUCAAACAUUUUCACGUUUGAUUUCGCGCAAAGUGAGGUAUACCGCACCAUGCACGACAUAUGUGGCCAUUACAUUUCGCAUCGUUAAGAAAAGUCCACAUGUUUGGAAUGAGAAUUGAUGGACAAUCACGUCAAUUAAAUUUUCUCAUCGACGAAAAUGAGAGCAUCGGUGCAGAUGGAACUAAUGCCCAAGAACCAAACGCUGUCAUCUCGAUGAUUGACUACACGCUCAACACCCAUAGAUGCGAAGAUCUCUCGUGCACAAUAUACGCCGAUAAUUGUUCGAGUAAAAAAAAGUUUGUGCUUGGGUACUUCGCAUGGCGAGUCCUUACACGGCGCCUGACACUUCAACCGAAUAUUUGAUGCAGGUUCCGGGUCAUUCACGAUGUUUGGUAGAUAGUGGGUUCGCCUAUAUUAAAAAGCUGUACAGGUAAUAAACCUUAUCGUUGUUAUAAGUUUACAUUUAUUAUAUUAGUAACGAUUACUUCAAUAUGUUACUAUUAGAAAAACACAUAGUGUUUUUACAAGUUUUAUUUGCAAUAUAAAUAUACAAGUUGAUAAUAAGUAGUAGUAUUGAUGAUAUCAGAAUAAAUUACACGGUAAAUGGUAUCAUUACAUGUUAGUCCUUAAAGCAUGUUAUACAUGGUGUGUUUUACUUAUUUUAUUGAACAUGCGCUUCGGACGCUCGGACUGUGACAUCAUUCAGCAGCUAGAGGAUAUUGUCAACAAGUCGUCUACUGCAAUCGAGGCUGUCCGAUAUCCGACCUGGCGCUGGCGUGACUGGAAUACUUUCUUGUCUACAUCUUUUAAAGCAAUACCCGGGAUAAGGAAGUACCAGUACUUCAGGUUCGACUCAUCGAGGCCCGGCACGGUUUUCGCGAAGAAAGCAACGGACCUACCAGAGGAAGAGUUCUUCAUCAUGAAACACAGGAAACUCCCCUCGGCAAGACCGUGCUUAAUUAAACCGACAGGGCUAUCAGAGAAUCGCGUGAAAUAUCUUUACAGAACUGUCCGACCAUUUGUGCGACCAUAUUAUCAGGACAUUACCUGUCCAACACCCACAGACUAAUUGCAUGUGAUUACAUCAUGUAAUCGAACAUCAACCUAAACAGUUAUUUUAAUCCAUGCGCGUGUUAAUGCAGGGUUUUCCAACAAGUUAUUGUAAAAUUUGAAUUAGUGUUUGAUAUUGCGAACUAUUUACAUGCUGUUAACGUCAUGAAUAUGUCAUUCCGAUUGAAAAUGACGCGACGUCAACAUCUUUGUUGCGUGAUAGUAUUUUAUUAUGUUGUCAUAGCAACGCUAAUUAGUGGCGUACACAUGUAAUUUAUACAUCAUUGGAUUCGUGGAUGAACGUACAAUAUGAAAUUUAAAAAAAAAGAAAAAUUGAUUUUUUUUUUCAUUAAUGCAGGUUUUGUCGUGGAACGGCUCAAAUGUAUUUUAUUAAAUCUAUGUUACCAGACCACA